UCAGUUGGAGUCUGCUGGCCGUGGUGUGAGGAGGAAAGGAGAGGAGGUUGUGUGAGGGACAGAAAGGGUUAUGUGGCUAUGCUGGGGACAGGAAGGAGCCAGCUGGAACUGCAGAAGGAAGAGAGAAGAAGGAGGGAAAGAGCCAGAGCUGAAUAGAGCUCUUCGUGGGAGGCUACAUAGUAAAGUGUCUGGACUGUCAAUACCAGCUCAAUAUCCAUGAUGACAACAAGCUAAGCAGAAAGUUGCGCUGCAGUUGUGAGAUAAUGCUGGCAAAAUAAUUAACUCCAUCAAUCAAACUCAGAGCAGGAUCCUCCAGAAACAUAAAGAACUGGGAUUGCAGAGAAAUUUUUCACAUUGCUGAAAAAAUUGACAAUGAAAGCCCAGAUAAUUUUGGACAGAUAAUGGAUCAUCUCAGGUGACACAGCUUCAGUAGCUUUUUGUUGCUUUGUACCACACACGGUUAUGUGUUUCUUGCUGAGAACAAGACUUUUGCUACACAUGAAGUGACCUGGGAGGUAUUAAUGAGUCUCAAGGAGUUUGCAGGGGGUCUCCAUGACCAUCCGUAACGGAAUGCGCUCUCUGGAUAAGGCUCUGACGAUGGGAAAAUUCUUCGUUCUGUCAGGACUGUGCCACCUGAGUGUGUUCUUAUUGCUUUUGUGGGCUUCAGUAGCCACUCCCUCAUGAGAAAUAUCAUGAGGAAAAAUGUACUUCUGUAAAUAAGAGGUUUUUUUAGUAGUUCAGCCACUCAAGAGAUAGUUCACCAUUUCUGGAGCUAUUCCUUUGGUGUUCCAUUAACAACAUUUUCUCCCUGAAUCAAAAUUUUUGCUGUCUCUGAGAACAAAAGCCAAAAUUACAUCAAAAUAAUUAGUAUUUCAUCAUUUUCCAAUUGUUCUUGCCCCAGUGCUUGCAUGCUGCUAUGCUAGUCUUAAAAAUCAAAAUCUCCUUAGAUCUUAAGUUCAGGGAGGUCUGGAAACAGGGCACUCAUGAUUUGUUCCUGUUUAUAAGAGAGGAACUCAACUGUGUUUUCCCAAACACUUUAUCAGCAAUUUUUCUUGCUCACAAUAUGCAGCAGGUGGACGUGUUAACCUUUGCUCUUAACAGGGGCACAAUGCAAUUUAUGUGAUCUUGGCAACAAAAUAUGUAUUGAUGCUAAAUGCUUACAAUUUGAAUAGUUGACUUUAACUUGCUUUUAGCUUUUUUACAGAAAUAUGUAAAAUAUGAAAGUGCUCGCUUCUUGGAUUGUUUAAGGAUUUUAAAACAGUUUAAAUGUUUCUUAAUUUCAGCAGUAACUACUAGUUUGUUAUUUUACCUGGAGCUAGGAAACGUUAAAACAAUAUCUCCUUUUUUACACUUUCCUCCGCUUUCAUCAGUGUGUCUGCAAUGCUGUCAUGAAGAGACUUGAAUUCCAGCAUCUUUAAGGCAUUUAAUAAUUACUUUUUAUGCAUGAUUAAAGAUGCAGAUUUAUAUUUCUGAUCUGGGAUUAAACAUGCCCUCAGAUCAUGGUGGGACACAUGAUCCCUGUUGUUUGAUCUUUGGCUCUUCUGUUGCAAUGGAAUCAGGACAAACCUGGAAUCUACACCAAUGAUGGGUUCUGGAAAAAGUAGGUUGUCCUUUUUUUCCUCUUUUCAUGAGAUUCAAAUGAAGAUAUUCCCUAUGAAAACUAGGAAUUAUUUUAGAAGCACUUACCACAAUGGCAUUGAAAAGGCGUGUGUAAGAUCAAAACUGACUUGCUGUAUUUUGGCUCUCUCAAACCUCUUCCUUGAUCACUGGGUGUGCAUCGUCCCCCUUUGGUUUGUUUUCCAGAUAGAGCUUGCUAUUUACCCAUCCCCAAAUCUUGGCAUUACUAAAAGCUACAAGUUAAACUACUUCUGUAACAACCUUCAGACCCUUUGUUUGGUUACCACUCCUGAGUGUCAUAUCUUAUGACAUUUCAGGAAGCUUAUGACAGUUUAUUUUUCUGGAGGAGUCUGUGAAGAUUACACUCUCCUCAUGCUCUUUCAUUUAUUAAAAUUUUCCCCUCCUUAUCUGCUUAAAGCUAAUACAAACUAACCUUGAAAUUAAACUUCAGCCUGUCUCUCCAAGAUUUCAGCAGCAGAAAUAAUUUGAAAAAUGACCCAAGACUUGGAAGAAAUAGUGAAAGCAGGAUUAAAUAAUUUCUUAAUUACAAUGUCCUUUCACCCCAAGAGGAGACGUUAUCUUUGCUCUCAUUUUGGCCUUGUAUGAAU